AUCUCCUAGGGAGCAGAUCAGGUUAGGGCUUCGGACAACAGGGAAGAGGGGCUCAUUCUGAAUACCUGGAAAGGACAGCCCUCCUCCACACUUCUCCAAGCAGUGGGCACCAAGACGAGAGAGAACUCGCCUGUGAGUGGCUGGGAAGCAUCAGCUGAGGGAGCUGCCUUACAAGUCUCUUCACCCUGAGUGCCAUUUCCUGGAUGUUGGAGGGAGGCUCUGCUGACUUGAGAGCUUCCAGCUCGGCUCCAGUUUUUUCGAGCCAAGAAGCGAUACUGCCGAUAUCGGAAUUCAGCUGCUGCGUGGUCUGCUUUAAUCUGAGCUUGCCGUGAAGUUCCUGUGCCUGAAUCAGCUCCCACCGGUCGAAGGCACCUGGAAUCCAGAGCCGCCAAUUAGAGCGAGCAAUAAAACGGGCGGUCAGCGUGGCAAAGGGUGAGGUUGAUGAAGACACUGUCUGAGGGCAGAAAGCCAGCGACAGCCAAGGAAACAUGGCGCGUUAAAGAUGGGAAUCAAGUAGCCGUUUCCGUAUCCUUCCUGAGGGUCUCCACACAAAUGAUGGGAAGAGUUGGAGGUGACCCCUUAUCUUAUGAGACAGCUCUUGCAGUAGCACUUGUACAAAGCCCCUCAACCAUCACCCUGUCGAGGCGUUCAUUUUCCUCACUGUGAAUGGGAAACACAGGGUCCCCCGCCUUUCUAGGUCAUUCAUCAUCAAGCAUUUAUCCUUCAAUGUACACAGUGACACUUCUGCUCCCAGAGCUGAGUGGCCUAUUAUGUCAGGCCUUUCCAAAAAUAAAUGGAUCCCUCUUAGGAAAACCGUGCUUCCUCUGGGCCGUGUCUGUGUGGCUUCUUUGUGUGGAGCUUGGGAAAUGAGGCUUCGGAUCUCUGGUAACACGUGUGGUUUCACAGCCAGUAGAAAGGCUGAGCUGUUG